GAAUGCUGACAUAAGUAACGAUAAAGCGGGUGAAAAGCCCGCUCGCCGGAAGACCAAGGGUUCCUGUCCAACGUUAAUCGGGGCAGGGUGAGUCGACCCCUAAGGCGAGGCCGAAAGGCGUAGUCGAUGGGAAACGGGUUAAUAUUCCCGUACUUGGUGUUACUGCGAAGGGGGGACGGAGAAGGCUAUGUUGGCCGGGCGACGGUUGUCCCGGUUUAAGCGUGUAGGUGUGUGUUCCAGGUAAAUCCGGUUCACUUUAACACUGAGGCGUGACGACGAGGCACUACGGUGCUGAAGCAACAAAUGCCCUGCUUCCAGGAAAAGCCUCUAAGCAUCAGGUAACAUCAAAUCGUACCCCAAACCGACACAGGUGGUCAGGUAGAGAAUACCAAGGCGCUUGAGAGAACUCGGGUGAAGGAACUAGGCAAAAUGGUGCCGUAACUUCGGGAGAAGGCACGCUGACACGUAGGUGAAGUGAUUUACUCAUGGAGCUGAAGUCAGUCGAAGAUACCAGCUGGCUGCAACUGUUUAUUAAAAACACAGCACUGUGCAAACACGAAAGUGGACGUAUACGGUGUGACGCCUGCCCGGUGCCGGAAGGUUAAUUGAUGGGGUCAGCGCAAGCGAAGCUCCUGAUCGAAGCCCCGGUAAACGGCGGCCGUAACUAUAACGGUCCUAAGGUAGCGAAAUUCCUUGUCGGGUAAGUUCCGACCUGCACGAAUGGCGUAAUGAUGGCCAGGCUGUCUCCACCCGAGACUCAGUGAAAUUGAACUCGCUGUGAAGAUGCAGUGUACCCGCGGCAAGACGGAAAGACCCCGUGAACCUUUACUAUAGCUUGACACUGAACAUUGAGCCUUGAUGUGUAGGAUAGGUGGGAGGCUUUGAAGUGUGGACGCCAGUCUGCAUGGAGCCGACCUUGAAAUACCACCCUUUAAUGUUUGAUGUUCUAACGUGGACCCGUUACCCGGGUUGCGGACAGUGUCUGGUGGGUAGUUUGACUGGGGCGGUCUCCUCCUAAAGAGUAACGGAGGAGCACGAAGGUUGGCUAAUCCUGGUCGGACAUCAGGAGGUUAGUGCAAUGGCAUAAGCCAGCUUGACUGCGAGCGUGACGGCGCGAGCAGGUGCGAAAGCAGGUCAUAGUGAUCCGGUGGUUCUGAAUGGAAGGGCCAUCGCUCAACGGAUAAAAGGUACUCCGGGGAUAACAGGCUGAUACCGCCCAAGAGUUCAUAUCGACGGCGGUGUUUGGCACCUCGAUGUCGGCUCAUCACAUCCUGGGGCUGAAGUAGGUCCCAAGGGUAUGGCUGUUCGCCAUUUAAAGUGGUACGCGAGCUGGGUUUAGAACGUCGUGAGACAGUUCGGUCCCUAUCUGCCGUGGGCGCUGGAGAACUGAGGGGGGCUGCUCCUAGUACGAGAGGACCGGAGUGGACGCAUCACUGGUGUUCGGGUUGUCAUGCCAAUGGCACUGCCCGGUAGCUAAAUGCGGAAGAGAUAAGUGCUGAAAGCAUCUAAGCACGAAACUUGCCCCGAGAUGAGUUCUCCCUGAGACUUAAAGUCUCCUGAAGGAACGUUGAAGACGACGACGUUGAUAGGC
rnacentral:rRNA from 2 species